GGAAGAAGGGGUGAGAGGGAGAACCUGCCGCCGCUCGCCGCCUCUUUGUCUGCUCCGGGACUGGGAACAAAGGGGGGAACUCUGAUGAACUCUCCUCCCCUCGCCCCGGACGCCCGGGUAUCUCCCUCUCACAACUUUGCCGCCGCCACUCUCUGCGCUGUCAGGCCCCACAAAAGUGCCCGCGCGCCUCGCGGACGGCGGCGGGAGGACGUCCCUGGAAAGUGUGACCAAGUGGGGAGAAGGUGUGAUUAUUAUUAUCAGCAUCUAGAAAGCAUCACCCAGUGCUUUGUUCUUACGGGAUCUUUCUAUCAGUGAACGUUAUGGAAGUACCAGUACACCACCACGUCAUUCCUGGAGGAAAAGUUAUCAAACGUCUUCAUUUGGAGUUGCUUAGAAGUUAAAGUGUUGGAAUUUUUAGGAUGCCUUUCCUAUGUGGAUUACUACAGUUUGAUCACUGGGAAUUCUCCACCUUAAAGAAGGACUCUCAGGAGACUACAGAAGCCUUCACACCCAGUACGUUCAGGUGUGAGUCAUGGUGACACUGAGAGACGGUGACUUACUGCUUCGGGGGCACGCAUGUGUAUGAUUAAGGGAUGUAGGAGCAGGACUCCAAGGUUUCCUUCCUUCCUUCCUGUCCCGGCGGGGACGGCGGAGGGAGUGAGUGAUGGGGUCAUUUAUAACACCGCAGGCCCUUCGGCAAGGGACCUCUAGUCAAAGCAGGAAGAUAAAACUCAGAUUUCAGCUGGGAAAAGACAACUUUUGAUCUUCUCUGGACACUCCUUUGCAAGCAGUAGAGCCUUCAGAAUUUUUGGUUUCCUUUUUCAAGGAGAUUUCCAUGAAAAAGGUACGAUCAUCUGGUGGCAUCAUUCCGUUUUCAUAUUCCAUGGAGAUCUAGAUCUUGAUUUGGACAUUUUGGACAAAAUGUUCAGUGUCUGACUUGACAUCAACAUUACCAAUGAAGGUCAUCCUUUGUGUCCUCCGCAAAUGUCCUUCUCAACUACCCGUGAACCAUGCAUAGCUGUCCUCUGUUGUCCAUUCCACCAGAUGGCCUCAAAACUAACAGAAAAGGGAAAUGACUAAGGCCUUCCUUUCCAGCCUUCUGGUGUCGCUGGAAGAACAUACCCAGUCCAGCACGUGUCUGAAUACUUCCUACACAUCUUCUACUCAGGAUUACGUGACACGGUCAUCUCCUGAAGAAGAUUAGUGGAAUGUCUGAAAUUGGACUUUAAUACAUCUUGGAGAAAUGACCUUGCCUUGAAAGAAUCACCAUUACCAGCAGGAUCACUUGCUUGUUUUACGAGUGCUCUGUAUUAAUUAAGUGAUACUUCUCUGUACAGCUUACAACCUACCAUGACUUUCUGUGGUGUUGUGAAAACUUUAGAAUGAAACAUACCUGGAUGUUUAUAUCUGACGUAUUAACUUCAUUUGCUUAGGUUUUUUUGAACGAGCUAUCCAGGGAAGAGCUGUUUCAUCUUCACCGAUGUGUGAUAUGCACUCUGUCAGAAGACAGCUUUUGGUAAUGGUGCAAUAAACAACUGUCACUCUAAUGUAGAAAUAUGGAACAGACGCAGUAACUCAAUCAUUCCAUCUAACUUGACAAAAUGGAAAAUGGCUUGAGAAAAGACAGCCCAAAGCACCAGGUUGAAACUCCAGAGGCUGAUUGGCACAUUUAAGAAGUUGUGAGUAUAAACUGAUGGGCAUACUCCUUUGCUUCAAGACAAGACAGAUUGAUAAAGGCCCCCCUGCUACUUCCUGAAAAACAAGCAAGACCUCUGGAUACAGAUCACCACUCCUUCUGUUCCACUUGGAUUCUUGUUUUUAUGGAUUUUGGUAACUUAUAGGUUUCUGUUCACAGCUGUCCCAUGAACAUUCAGUGUCUUAUCUUUUUGCCAUUUUGAUGCUGAUGAUUAGAUUACAGAUAGAAUCAGCCACCUGCAUUCCAGAACAGGCCCUGCAUACAUACCUUAGAUAUCCAUUUUUCUUCCCCCAUUGAGUCCUGAUUCAUUAAUGACAAUCCUAAAAGACUGAAGCUUGCUUCUAAGCAAUAUCUGUGCAAGAGUAUUUUCUUCUGGGCAUUGAUUCCUAUAGAUCAGUUCAAAGGUGCUGCCAUAUUAGUUCUUUGAAGAAAUUUAAACUAUGUUCUUAAUAUACGGGCCUGAUGAGAAAGUACACCCUAAUAACUUGGAUACAAGAUUGUAUGUUGAGAGUUAAAUUGAAUAAAGCCCCUCCAGAAUGGUUAUGAUUUUCAUAUGAAUCACAGUUAACCAAAAUUUUUCUAUAAAUAUAUGACUGAAGAGAUUACAGAGUUCCUAGAUUCUAAUCAAGGUAGUCUCUGGGACAAAAAGUGAGAUGCAGGAAUGGAAAAUAUAAUCAGAAACAUAAUCAGAGUAUUGUAUCCUGUUUUUGGGAAAGGCUGUAUAAAUAUAACCAGUUUAGUGACUAAAAGUAUAGGAAAGAAAAAUCACAAAGGCAAAUGUUGUUGAUGCCCAUUAAAAUAGGGUCUGGUGGAGAGGAAUUCCUGAAUAAAGAACUUGAACAUUACCAGCUGUGAACAUUAUACUACUGAUAAAUUGAGCCUCUGUUAUGUGCCAGGUGUGUGCUAAAAGCUUUGUCUACACUGUUCUUAUAAAUCAUCAAAAUGGUUUUUGAGGUGCCCAUGACUUUUGAAGUAUCUGUAUUUUACAGAUCAGGAAGAUAAAGUUUAGACAAGUUCAUGGAUUAUCCCUAAUUAUUUGCUUAUUACCAAGAAAUUCAGUUAUAAACUGGGAUUUGAACCCAGACUCAGGAACUCUAAUGUCCAACUGGACUAUGUGACUUUCUUAUACCUACACUGUUUCCUACAAAUAAAAGAAAUUUCUUAAGGCACUCACAUAAAUACAGACAGGGUCAUGUAGCUAUCAAGAUAAUCAAGUUAUAGAAGAGUUUCUUGCCCACCCCCCCAAUUCUUUGUGUCACUUUGAGAAAAAAUCCUGCUCCUACUCUAAGUCCCUGGAGGCUAUUGGUCUGUUUUAUGGUCCCAUCCAUUUUUUUUUUUUUUUUU